rnacentral:rRNA from 1 species
GUGAGGAAUUUUCCGCAAUGGGCGAAAGCCUGACGGAGCAAUGCCGCGUGAAGGAUGAAGGCCUAUGGGUUGUAAACUUCUUUUCUCAGAAAAGAAUUAUGACGGUAUCUGAGGAAUAAGCAUCGGCUAACUCUGUGCCAGCAGCCGCGGUAAGACAGAGGAUGCAAGCGUUAUCCGGAAUGAUUGGGCGUAAAGCGUCUGUAGGUUGUUUAAAAAGUAUUCUGUCAAAGAUUAGGGCUUAACCCUAGAUAGGCAGAAUAAACUUUUAAGCUAGAGUUUGGUAGAGGCAGAGGGAAUUCCCGGUGGAGCGGUGAAAUGCGUAGAUAACGGGAGGAACACCAAAGGCGAAGGCACUCUGCUGGGCCAAUACUAACACUGAGAGACGAAAGCGAGGGGAGCAAAUGGGAUUAGAUACCCGGGUAGUCC